rnacentral:other from 1 species
CACGUCCUGCCGUGUUCGAGGUGUUGAUAACCAGCUCAUCGCCUACUUUACCUUUACGGGAGUCGUGAAUGAUGGCCGAUACUAAGCCGUAAACCGGAAAGUAGAAGCUGUCAGGAUGGCGCCCACCUGUAUGUACACAGGACCAUGAGCCCCUUCGGCAUACGGCACAAGGGUGGGACGUGU